rnacentral:rRNA from 1 species
CGUGUAGGCGGUCAGGUAAGUGGAAUGUGAAAUGCCCCGGCUCACCCGGGGACCGGCAUCCCAAACUGCCUGGCUUGAGUAUGGGAGAGGAUGGAGGAAUUCCUGGUGUAGCGGUGAAAUGCGUAGAUAUCAGGAGGAACACCGGUGGCGAAGGCGUCCAUCUGGCCCAAUACUAACGUUGAGGCGCGAAAGCUAGGGGAGCAAACG